GGAGGUAGUGACAAUAAAUCACAAUGCGGGACUUCUGUUUCGCAAUUGGAUUGAGAACAACGCACAACACUUAUCGAUAAACAAUUGGAGGGCAAGUCUGGUGCCAGCAGCCGCGGUAAUUCCAGCUCCAAUAGCGUAUAUUAACGUUGUUGCAGUUAAAAAGCUCGUAGUUGAAGUGAAGUAAUGAAGUUGUGAUUUGAAAUUUUUCAUUUCGCUUCUUAAUUACUCUUUCCAAAUUGUUUGCAUGGGUAUUCAUUUAUCUGUGUAUUGCAUUUGGUCAUUUACUGUGAGAAAAUUAGAGUGUUCAAAGCAUACGUUUGUUUGAAUACAUUAGCAUGGAAUAAUUCGAAAAGGCUUUCAUGUUCGAUUUGAUUGGUUUGUUCGUGAGAGCAAGAUUAAAAGGGACAGUUGGGGGUAUUCAUAUUCAAUAGUCAGAGGUGAAAUUCUCGGAUUUAUGGAAGAUGAACAAGUGCGAAAGCAA
rnacentral:rRNA from 1 species